CGGAGGGUGCAAGCGUUGUCCGGAUUUAUUGGGUUUAAAGGGUGCGUAGGCGGCCCUGUAAGUCAGUGGUGAAAUACUGCAGCUUAACUGUAGCAUUGCCAUUGAUACUGUAGGGCUUGAGUACAGAUGAGGUAGGCGGAAUUGAUGGUGUAGCGGUGAAAUGCAUAGAUACCAUCAAGAACACCGAUUGCGAAGGCAGCUUACUAAGCUGUAACUGACGCUGAGGCACGAAAGCGUGGGGAUCGAACAGGAUUAGAUACCCUGGUAGUCCACGCUGUAAACGAUGAUUACUCGAUGUUCGCGAUAUACAGUGAGCGUCCAAGCGAAAGCGUUAAGUAAUCCACCUGGGGAGUACGCUCGCAAGAGUG
rnacentral:rRNA from 1 species